ensembl:lncRNA
GCCACACACGGAGGUUCCCAGGCUAGGGGUCCAAUCGGAGUUACAGCUACUGGCCUCCGCCACAGCCACGGCCACAGCAGAUCCAAGCUGCAUCUUCGACCUACACCGCAGCUCACAGCAACGUCAGAUCCUUAACCCACUGAGCGAUGCCAGGAAUCGAACCCGAAACCUCAUGGUUCCUACUCGGAUUCAUUUCUGCUGCGCCAUGAAGGGCACUCCUCUUUUCCUUUUGACAAGAGGGGAAACUCCUGGUUUCCAGAGGUUAAGAAACCUGCCCCCAGGCCACCCAGCAUGCAUUUGACUGUCGACCUGCCACUAAGCUGCUUCUUGCCUUGUAGAGAGGCCACUGGAUCGGGUUGGAGCCUAAGCUGGACUACCCAUGAGUUAUUUGCUUAUUGUAAACAUCUAAAUUGCGUAAUUCAAUGUAACCCAGAAAAACAAAAACAAUUUGUCUUUUUGUCCAUAUGGGUCACUUUAAAAGCCUAAUUCCCAGAGUUCCCUGGGAGCCUAGUGGCAUUGUCACUGAAGUAACUCGGGUUUCUGCUGUGGUGUGGGUUCAAUUCCUGCCCUGGAAAAUUCCAUAGCCCACAGACGUGGCCCAAAAAAAUGGAAAAAUAAAAAGAAAUGAAAGCCAGGUAUUCCCGUCAUGGCUCAGCAGAGACCAACCCAACUAACAUCCGUGAGGACGCGGGUUCGAUCCCUGGCCUCGCUCAGUAGGUUAAGGAUCUGGCGUUGCUGUGAACUGUAGCAACUGCAGUUGCUGUGGCUGCAACUCUGAUUCAACGCCUAGCCUGGGAAUUUAUGUAUGCUGCACCUAUAGCCCUAAAGAUAGAUAGAUAGAUAGAUAGAUAGAUAGAUAGAUAGAUAGAUAGAUAGGGAUAAAAAUAAAUGAAAAACUAAUUCUCAAAUCUCUACAUCUUUCCACUGCCAAAUGAGACAUCCGAUGCUUCCAUCUCAGCACAGAGGAAGUAGUUUAAUCACACCGAUUAUCAGAACUUGGUGAACAGAGGGAAAAAAACAGUACACGUGGGUCAGUAUAAACAGAAAAGGGCAAGGAAGUUAAAUACGAGCUAAACACAGAGGUGACGGAUGCUAGGACCUAAGUCUGAAACCUUGAAAACUCCCUCCCAGAGGGCCUGCCAAUUCCUGCUGACCAGCGUCUGCAUCCCCAGGCCCAGUGGGUCACCCUUGCCACGGGCCCAAGGCCUCCACGAGGAAGAACUGCCCCAGUGCAUCAGGUGUACAACCAGAUGUAUGGACCAGAGUUAUUUCCAGGGAUGAGAGAGGAGCAGUGUGGACAGGAAUAGUCACCCCUUUUUCCCCCACCUCCUUCACCUCUCAGGGUCCAACCCUCUGCCCUGGCAAACUCAAAUGCCUCACCCCAAUCAACCCCGGUAGACACAUGCCAGGCUCUCUAUAGGACAUCUGGAGCUUAGGACUUUCUAGGGGUUGCCAGGUGCCCCCAAAACAUUCAUGCCGAAGUCCUCACCCCCAGGACCUCGGGAUGUGCCCAACUUUGAAAGAAAGUCACUGCAGGCGUUCCCACUGUGGCUCAGUGAGUUAAGAACCUGACUAGUAUCCGUGAGGAUGUAGGUUCGAUCCCCGGCUCGGAUCUGAUGUUGCUGUGGCUGUGGUGUAGGCUGGCUGCCAUGGCUCCUAUUUGACCCCUCGCCUGGGAACUUCCAUGUGCCGCCAAUGCAGCCAUAAAAAGAAAAGAGAGAAAAAAAAGUCACUGCAGAUAUAAUUACUUAAGGCAAGGUCACCUGCCUGGGCCGCAGUCCAGUGACUGGCAUUCUUAUAAAAAGGGGAAAUUUGGGCACAGUGGCAUCAGAGCAAAAUGCCAACUGAAGAUUUCAGUUUUGCUGCCACAAGCCAAGCAACAACCAGAGCUGGGAAAGAGGCCUGGACCACAGAGCCUUCGGAGGGAGCCUGGCCCUGUUGACACCUUCACUUGGGAGUUCCAGCCUCCAGGACUAUGAGAAAAUAAUUUCCGCUGUUUGAAGCCACACAGGUGGUGGUACCUUGUCACACAGCCUCAGGAAAUGCAUCCAGGACUCUGGCAUGACCAGCACCCAGUCCCUCCUGAAGCCUCUGGAAAAUCCCUUCCAACCACUCCACAUCCGGUCCAUUAAGAAGUUAAAAAUAAACCACAGUUAACCAGUGGCUGACCGUGGCUAAAGGCUUACUUCCACGGUACUGAUUAACCAAGGCCUCACACGGGGCUCGGGAGAGGCAGAUUGUCAGGUGAGAGGUGACGGGAGCAGGCGAGACACAGAAGCAGGAGACAUUGCUUCCAGCCACGCAGAUCAGGGUGGGCUGCGUGGAGGCGGGGGCAUCUCGGCAGGGCUGGAAGGGUGGGCCUGGAGGAGCUAAGGCACACCACCGACCCCCACGACAAAGGCCACUCCAAGAACGGAGAACCCACCUGGCCUGGGCGGACGCAAGCCUUGGUGGGUGAGAAACCAGAACACAGCCCAGGGACCGAUCACAGAGAACCCCGGGUGCAGGGGAUGGAAGCUGGAAUCCACUCUGUAGAUAACAAGAAAACCAACCAAUCAAGGGGUCUUUUGGAGGAAGCAAGCAAUCAGGAUGGAUUCCGGCCUUGAGGAAUGAGAAUGAGGAGGACGUAGGGGACUAAAUCUGAAAGCACACAACAGGAUUGGGAGCGUCUUGGGAGCCCCGGAACGCAGGUUCCAUCCCCGGCCCCGCGCAGUGGGUUAAGGAUCCGGACAUCAAAGCCCCGCACAGAUCGCGGAACUCACGGAAGCUGCGAAUAACCCUAGAGGAGGGGCUGAGGAGGCUGGAGGAGAAGAGCAAGAAAAGAGCAUCUCUGAGCAGGAGAAGCAGGGAAGGCAGAGAGGAACCAGGGGGCACAGCGGUUAGUGCAGGAGACAGUAAAUAGGGCCUGCGAUGGGUUUGGGAUGGAAUGAUGUCCCCUUAAAAAAAUAUGCUGAAAUCCUGGGAGUUCCCGUCGUGGCGCAGUGGUUAACGAAUCCGACUAGGAACCAUGAGGUUGCGGGUUCGGUCCCUGCCCUUGCUCAGCGGGUUAACGAUCCGGCGUUGCCGUGAGCUGUGGUGUAGGUCGCAGACGUGGCUCGGAUCCCGCGUUGCUGUGGCUCUGGCAUAGGCUGGUGGCUACAGCUCCGAUUCAACCCCUAGCCUGGGAACCUCCAUAUGCCGCGGGAGCGGCCUAAGAAAUAGCAACAACAACAACAGCAGCAGAAAGACAAAAAGACAAAAAAAGAAAAAAGAAAAAAUAUGCUGAAAUCCUAAUUCUGAGGAUCUCAGGGUGGGGCCUGAUUUGGGAAACAGGGUCAUUGCAGAUGCAACUCGUGAAGACCAGACAAGGUGCUACGGAUGUAGGAAGGGUCCCUGGUCCCAUGGCUGUGGCCCUACAGGAAGAGAAGGGACACGGGGAGGAAGCCAUGGGAAAACGGAGGGAGUGGGGCAGCUUCGAACCAAGAAACACCAAAGACGGCUGGGGAACCACCCGAAGCUGGGCGUGGGGUAAGGAAAAAUCCCCAUGCACUUCACAGGGAACCUGGCUCUGCCGACACCUUGAUUUCAGACUUCUCGUCUCCAGGACUGUCAGAAAGCAAACUCCGGUUGCAUCAAGCCCCCUUGCCUGUGGCACUUUGUUUCUUUGGCCGACCCAGGAAACAAACACAGAAUGUGAAGACAGAAGAUCUGAGCAGGGUUAGUUCCCAGGGAACUCGCUGCCAGCCUUGGUUUUUUAUUUUAUUAUUUUUAGGGCUGCACCUGCAGCAUAUGGAGGUUCCCAGGCUAGGGGUCAAAUCAGCCACAGCACAGCCACAGCCACAGCAAUGCAGGAUCCGAGCCACCGAGUCUGAGACUACACCACAGCUCACGGCAAUGCCAGAUCCUUAACCCACUGAGUGGGGCCAGGGAUCAAAUCCGCAUCUUCAUGGAUCCUAGUCAGGUUCAUUACCGCUGAGCCACAACGGGAACACCUUGAUGCCCGCUUUAAAAGCAUUUCCUCCAUGGGACCAAGGACAAAAUCCUACCCCCACCCGCCCACCAUCGUACUCAUGGACCUCUCAGAAGAGCGGAAGAAGGUGAUAACUUAUCAUUGCUGAAACGGUCUCCACGAUAACAUCCAUCAUAAAUGUUUGUAACAUUAAGCCAUAAAGGAGAGUAAGUGCACGAACGGGAUUCCUCAAGAGGCUCCCGACAAGCUAUCUGGGCGUGUUGAUCACAUGUUUCGAGGACAUCAAAGGCUUUGCUUUUUCACAUCCAUCCCUUUCAGUGAAUCAGCAGAAACUGCCUUGCCCCCAAACUUUCCAAACUGAUUAAACAGGGCUAGUCUGACCUGAAUCCGCCUCCAACCCACCCCAACCUACAGCAAAGGUCAAUGCUGGCCUUCUCAGAGGGGUGACCUCGAGGGAGAAAAGGCCUCCAGGAUCUGGAAGCAAAGAGAGCUCGCAAAAUGCAUAUUUAAUAUACUUACUUCUACCCUAUAAAACCACAGCAUUUAAAGCUUGCCCUGGGAGUUCCCUGGUAGCUCAGGGUGUUAAGGAUCUGGCGUUGUUAGAGUUCCCGUCACGGCUCAGCAGUUAACAAACCCGACUAGGAUCCAUGAGAACACAGAUUCAAUCCCUGGCCUCGCUCAGUGGGUUAAGGAUCCGGCAUUGCUAUGCGCUGUGGUGUAGAUCGCAGACUCUGCUCGGAUCCUGUGUUGCUGUGGCUGUGGUGUAGGCCAGCAGCUGCAGCUCCAAUUCGAUCCCUAGCCUGGAAACCUCCAUAUGCCAAGGGUGGGGCCCUAAAAAGACAAAACACACACACACACAGGACCUGGCAUUGUCACUCCUAUGGCGUGGGUUCGAUCCCUGGCCUGGGAACUUGGACAUGCCACAGGAAUGGCUCAAAAAUAAAAUAAAACUUUAAAAUCAUAAAAAAGUAAAGCCAGUCCUGGUAGUAAUCAUGAAACAUAAAAUGGUUUUGCCAAGGGGGGAGUCACGGUGGGGAACAAUAAAGCUGAGAAAUCCUGGACCCAGACAUGAGCUCAGGGACCCCAGGUGGGUAGGCUUCCUCGGAAAGGCAGAAAGAAGCAGUAGUUUUCAGCCUUACUGUUCACCCACGUACCCCUUCAAUGGAUCCCCACCUGGCAAAACCUGUAAAGUUCAGAAAAUUUGGGGCUCUCUUGAGGCCUCUCUCAUUGGCUUGCCGACAGCUUGCCUUCCGGCUGGGUCUCCACCUGCUCUCCCUCUGUUCUCACCUGCGCCCAGGUCUCUCCUCUUCCUGUGAAGACACGGGUCCUACAGAGUCAGGCCCCCCCCCACAGGACCUCAUCUUACCGUAAAUACCUCUUUAAAGUACCCGUCUGCAAACACAGCCAUAUUCUGAGGUCCUGGGGGUUAGGACCCCAACAGAGCAGAGGCAAGGGGGUGGGGGGGACCCAAUUCAGCUCAGAACAAAACCCCC